rnacentral:rRNA from 1 species
GACGAACGCUGGCGGCGUGCUUAACACAUGCAAGUCGAACGGAAAGGCCUCUUUCGGGGGGUACUCGAGUGGCGAACGGGUGAGUAACACGUGAGUAACCUGCCCUUGACUUUGGGAUAACUUCAGGAAACUGGGGCUAAUACCGGAUAGGAGCUCCUGCUGCAUGGUGGGGGUUGGAAAGUUUCGGCGGUUGGGGAUGGACUCGCGGCUUAUCAGCUUGUUGGUGGGGUAGUGGCUUACCAAGGCUUUGACGGGUAGCCGGCCUGAGAGGGUGACCGGCCACAGUGGGACUGAGAUACGGCCCAGACUCCUACGGGAGGCAGCAGUGGGGAAUACUGCACAAUGGGUGGAAGCCUGAUGCAGCAACGCCGUGUGCGGGAUGACGGCCUUCGGGUUGUAAACCGCUUUCGCUCAUGACGAAGCUUUGUGUGACGGUAGUGGGUAAAGAAGCACCGGCUAACUACGUG